rnacentral:misc_RNA from 1 species
AUUCCUCCACCUUACAUCCUUUUUGGAUUGUAAGGCUGGGAUCUGGGGGUUUCUUGUGGGUCCUUAGUUGAUCCACUCCCCUUGAAUGCAUGAGUGAAGACCCAUGCGGGCCCUCGGUGUGAUAAAUAUCUAUGCCAUGGUCUUAGCACGGACAGUUCUUUGCUUCUAACCGUCUGCUUGUCAGACAAACAUAUUAUAC